CUCCAACAGAGAAGCGACCAAUCGUGGUGAGACAAGGAAGUCCUGCUGAGGUGAUCCGCCAAGACGUUCCUGGUUCCAGGCAGGCCCAGUUUGCGCCAGGUGGAAUGUUCCAGAUCAAAGCUCCUCUGUGCUUGCUCCUGAAACCUGCCCUAGAUGAGCCAGUCGUCGAGAUACAGGAAGACCUGAACCCCUCAACAUCUCAGGUCCCUGACUAGGCUGCCAAGGCCUUGGUGGCAGGGGCAGCCAGAACUGCUUCCGUGGAGACUGUGCCAUUUGCAUGCCCAGGGGGCAAAGGGUGGCCCGAAUGUCCUUUUACCCAUGCAGCCUCGCAUCUCUCUGUUCUGAAAAGAGACCAUUCCCAUUGAAUGGGAGGUCCUGGAUAGAGGUCUGCAUCUUGUGGGACAGGCCAGCGAUCUGAAGCCAGGAGCUGCGCCUCAUGACUACUGCUGACGUGACCACCCUAGCCUCCAAGUCUGCUGCGUCCCAUUCCAUCUGCAGACAACACCCAGCCGCCACGGUGCCUUCCUCCACCAGGGUGCUGAAU